GCAACACGGCAUUCCUACCACUUGUGCCACCGGGGCACACAUAAGUAAUAAGUAAGUAAUAAGUAAUAAGUAAUUAAAUGCACAUUCCUUUAAGGACUUAAACCUUGAAGAAUAGCUGAUCUUGUGGGUACCAGCUUCCUACUGGCUUUGAAAACCUGUGAAAAUGGAGGCUAAUACUGGAAAACCUGACAGACCAGCCAUGCUGUUUUGUCAGAGGAGAUUUUCUGCUGCCACUUUUAAACUGCACUGCAAUUCUACACCUUGCCUCAAGAUGACUGACCUGAAAAAGCACUUGCUGUCAUGGACAAAUGAAAUUACAUGGACAUUUAAAAGAGUUAUAAAUCUGACUUCUAAAAGGAGUUUCAGGCAAAUGAUAGUAUAA
rnacentral:lncRNA from 1 species